rnacentral:misc_RNA from 1 species
UUCCUGCUUUGCACUAGAAUUGCAUCUUCUUUUUAUUAUGUAUCAUGUUUAGUUGUUUUGAAAAACAGGUUCAGUUGAAUAUUAGAAGUAAGGUGUUACUCUAUAAUACAACUGAUGCUUAUUACGAGUGCAACCUCAGACAAAAACCGUGUGGAAUUAGCUUCUUUCUGGACGGAGGAAAUGUUGCUCUUUUGACUUCUCCUCCUCAAAGGCCAGGUAUAGCUGCUGGUGUGUGGAGCGUCAAACUUUCCUAUGGACCUCGGUGGAUCACAUAUCUUCUUGGAGUAGGUGGGAUGAGUUUUCUCAUUUGGUUGGUAUUCAGGUACUUGAAUAAUAUGCAAUCCAUUCAUCAGGAAGGUAGUAGAGAUCCGGUGGGGCUGAUGGAAUCUGACCAGACCCCUCUUCUUUCACGCAAAGAUAAUGAUAUUGGAAGUUGGGGUUCUUCUUACGAUGGUCUUUCACAAAAUGAUGAGUAUAAUGAAGAUGUACUGGACCUCACUGCAGCUCAAGGGAGACAACUUAAAGAUGGUGAAUGCAACGACAAUAUUUGUCGACUCUGCGCAAUUUGUUUUGAUACGCCAAGGGACUGCUUCUUUCUUCCAUGUGGACACCAUGCAUCCUGUUUUGAAUGUGGAACUAGGAUAGCAGAAGUUGCUGGUACUUGCCCAAUUUGUCGCAGGCCUAUAAAGAAAGUGAAAAAGAUAUAUACAGUUUGAGUAGUCGAGAGUAGAUAAAAUGUAAAUCAUGGAUACACCGAGUUCUUCUUCCAAUUUAUUAUCCUUUGAGAAUUGAUG